GAUUCACCCCAGCCACGUCACCGCUUCCAUGCCACACCUCUGCCAUCGCAACAGGGGAACAAUCAGUUGCUGCGUGAUUCACCGUCUUCAGAAACCCCGCCAGGCCCUUUCCUUCACAGCCAGCCACUAACCCAUGGU